rnacentral:rRNA from 1 species
GACGUAGGGCGCGAGCGUUGUCCGGAUUUAUUGGGCGUAAAGAGCUCGUAGGCGGUCUGUCGCGUCGGCUGUGAAAACCCGGGGCUCAGCCCCGGGCCUGCAGCCGAUACGGGCAGACUAGAGUUCGGCAGGGGAGACUGGAAUUCCUGGUGUAGCGGUGAAAUGCGCAGAUAUCAGGAGGAACACCGGUGGCGAAGGCGGCUCACUGGCUCGAUACUGACGUUGAGGUGCGAAAGCGUGGGGAGCAAACAGG